UAUAUUUAGGAGGUGUAUCGAUAAAUCGAAUUCCCGAUUCAGCCAUUUUGGUUUGCGAACUGCGAACUUUCAUGGAGUUUGUUUACCAACAAACCACUGAACAGCUGUGAUCUAAGCAGCAGCAGCCGAGUCCGUUCGAUUUUUCUUUCCGGGUCCCUCGAAAUCACCGAAGUUGUAGUCACUCAUGCCGCUGCCGGAGUCCUCCCGCGGGGUACAAGGUUCUCUGUGGUACAAGUUCGUUCGCCGGGUUAUUUUUCACGCUAAAGAGUCCGUUGUUGUUAGGUACCGGGCGUAGGAGACAUCCAUCGGCCGAAUUUGCCUGAAUAUUGAGGUAAUGGCAGAAUGUGCAUUCCGGAUCCCAUCAGUCCCGCAGGACUGUAAUUGCCAGGUGAUGAGAUUGAACAGUUUAUGGACGAGGUUGCAUUUCCUAGCUCGAGCAGUUUCAUUUCAAUGGAAGCCUUUGGAACUGCUGCCGAUCGUUCCCAUGUUGACUUUAAAUGGUUGCUGCACGUUAGUUUUUCUUCUUCCGGAGACGGAUUCGAUCCUAAGUAAACACUUAAGCUGGGAUUUGUUAUGGUGGAGCUGGCUGCGAUUGGAAACUGGAGUGGCAGUCAAAGCAGAGGUGCUAGUACAAAUGCAAGGCACCCGUUACCCGCAGAGUAUUCGUGUUAAUUUUUUUCACACACCGCGCCGAGACACAAAUCGACAUGGAUUUUGUUUACCAACAAAGCCCUAAGUUCCUGUGCCCCAUUUUUCAUCAGCUGUUCUGGUACAGGAAGACAAUUUUCAUCAAAGAAAUUGCUGGUUACAACGUGAACAAUGUGUUUUUGAAGUGGUCGACAGCAAAGUGUAGGAUUUCAAUUAGCUGCCUAUCAUCGCAUGAAAAUCUUCGUCGAUUAUCCUUAUCGGGAUAAAAGAUCCACGGGCGAUAGGUUGACAACGAAUGCAAAACCAAACAUUUUGAGUAUGUUGAAGUUACGCUGUAAAGCUUUUUGACCAUCAGCAUGGAGUCCGAGGGCUCUCAAGCCAAAUGGGAAAUUAGUUACCAGAUUAAAAUAUCGUUCAACGACCAUUCCACCGACUAUGUUCUGCUAUGGACUUUAUCUCGAAUUUCGAUUUUCAUCCGGGUGCGAUGGUUACGGUGUCGGAAAUGAAGGAAGAGGCUUGGAAGAAGCUUAGCUAAAGUGGGCUUUCCUUAUCCGAGGAAAAAAAAAUAAAAAGGGCGAGCAACAGGUUUGGCCAAAUAACACGAAAUGCAGAUGAGAUGAAAAAAGAAAAGGAGAUUCAAUGCUUGAUUGCUUGGGAAUAGAAAAUAAUUUGAAAAAUAAAAAUGUAGAAGAUUUAUUCUCGGAUACCAACUUUUGUUAUCUAGUCAUUUUUUUUCGAGAGGUUUUAAUUGUUUGCACGCUCUUAUAAACAGAUCCAUUUUCACAUUUUCAAAAGUAUUUCGCCAUUUUCCCUGUUCGAACAUCUUCGUCAUACCAAAUAUGCGACAAUUCAAAGGUAUGAAAGUCUGAUACAAACACUUUCUGGUCCCGUUUGCCAUAAGUAAUAUCCGUUAACAGGAGUAUCUAUUCCAAGCAUCUCUUCAAUGUCACAUCGACGGACUUUCGAUGAAUCCUGCAUUUUACUGACCAGGAGGUAACUGCAGCAACCAGCCAGCCCUGCAUUUCGAUUGCACUGCAUUUUUCAUUCGUUCGUCGGUCAAAAAUAUUUAUUCCAAGGUGUUAUUUUCGUUGACUGAAAGCUUCCGGAACAUCUUGUCUGAAUCUAGCCAGUCACGACGCUCCAGGAUUUUUGUCUACAAAUCAAUCAAAGAUAUAUUGAACGUUGUUUGCAAACUUUAGAAAUUCGGAACCUACCUUGAAUAAACACAAACACAUACAGGAUCUCAAUGAAACAUGAUGUUUCCUCGAAGAGAUUCCUUUUUUCUUAAUUCUAAGCGUACAUCUUUCGGGGAUAUGAUGGCUAGCAUCUUACAAAUGCUAAAACCACCAACCCACCGAAAGUGUACUAUGUAUGCCGUGACCGGGAUUCGAUCUCACUCACAGGAUUUCUCCACUAAACAAAACCGCAUUCUCAACUGGAAAGGAACUCGAAGCGAGGGCUCACGUAAAUAAAAAUUACAACAGGAUUUUUACUGGAGAACAGAAUUCAAUCCACAAAACCAAAAUGAAAUUUUCUUUUGUUUAUAAACAAACUCACUGAGCUCAUCGCUCUCUAGAGGAGCUCCUCGCCUACUUACUAAACAAGUCAGAGAACCUAGUGUAUCUAUGAACCUUGGUUGGGACAGCCCUUAUAGGUUGAUGUCAUGCUGAAGCAACAAGCAACGCAACGCGUUCACACGACAAACCAGCUCUCAUUUGAUCUCCUUGGAAAAGCGCAGACCUGUCAUGCUGAGCGCAUUGGAAAGCGCGACAAAGCUGAUGCCAGGGUGUUUUGUAGCGCGACAAGUAGGAAAUCCAAUGGGUAUAUUGUUUUUUCUCGUUUUAAAACAGUGAUUUCCGUCCAAAUUUGUGAUAAUAAACUAAAUAACAUCUGAAUCGACAAGAAAAUUUUCAUAAAUUCUUGGUUCCGGCAAAAAAAAAGGAAUUUUGUCGGUUCAAAUUUCGGCAUUCUUGCAAUCCGGGUCGUGAUUUGAUGAGUUUUUUAUGGCUCCCGAAAGAAAGGAGACGAUUCAAAGCAUUAUCAGAUGUAGAGAAGUGAUGAUUUGUAGGGAAUUUCAAAGCAACAUGUCGCGCCAGCAUGACAUACCAAUGCGUUGCAACGCUUUCUUAUUGGAACGUUGCGUUGUGUUGCGUUGCUAGUUGCUUCAGCAUGACAUCAGCCUAAAGUGCGAGUAGACUCGCCAUUUUAACAUCUCUGCCUAUGAGAAAAAAAAUUCUGAUUGAAUCAGGAAAAAAUGACCAUAUACAUUUGUAGAUUGAACCAAAAAACUGUCCUGUGAGAAAUUUCAGCUCAAUCGGACAUCUUUAAUCCCCCCUUAGAUGAUUUUUAGGGUCGUAAAAAUCCUUGCUCUGAGCGCUUUGAGGCACCCCUAAAUCAAGUUCAAUUGAGCUCAAAUUUUGCACAGGUCAGUUUUUUAGACCAAUCCACAAAAAUGCGAUAUAUAUGGUUGGUUUUCGAAAUUCGACAUGACUGUUUUCGCUGCCACCUCAACCUACAUACAUACAUGCAUACAUCUAGAUCUAACCAAUAUAAAAAGUAUUAACUAAUGGAUUAAA